UAGAAUGCGAUAUGCAAUGUGAAUUGCAGAACCAUGAAUCAUCGGAUUUUCGAACGCAACUUGCACUGGUACAACCAGUAUACUUGUUUCAGUGUGCGCAAACAACUAAACCAUAAAAAUGUGAGAGAAUUUCUCUCAUGAAAUACAUGCUCCCUGUAGCAGUCACAUUUAUUUGUGAGCUUCAGGCUGAUAAAUCGACUUAAUUGCACCUGAAAUCAAGUAAGAUGACCCGCUGGACUUAA
rnacentral:misc_RNA from 1 species